GACGAACGCUGGCGGCGUGCCUAAUACAUGCAAGUAGAACGCUGAAGGAGGAGCUUGCUCUUCUGGAUGAGUUGCGAACGGGUGAGUAACGCGUAGGUAACCUGCCUGGUAGCGGGGGAUAACUAUUGGAAACGAUAGCUAAUACCGCAUAACAGUAGAUGUUGCAUGACAUUUGCUUAAAAGGUGCAAUUGCACCACUACCAGAUGGACCUGCGUUGGAUUAGCUAGUUGGUGGGGUAACGGCUCACCAAGGCGACGAUACAUAGCCGACCUGAGAGGGUGAUCGGCCACACUGGGACUGGGACACGGCCCAGACUCCUACGGGAGGCAGCAGUAGGGAAUCUUCGGCAAUGGACGGAAGUCUGACCGAGCAACGCCGCGUGAGUGAAGAAGGUUUUCGGAUCGUAAAGCUCUGUUGUAAGAGAAGAACGAGUGUGAGAGUGGAAAGUUCACACUGUGACGGUAUCUUACCAGAAAGGGACGGCUAACUACGUG
rnacentral:rRNA from 1 species